GUUACACUCUUGUUUGCAAUUAGUUACAAGUAGUCUUCAAGUGGUAAACUGGUUGAACCCUAAAGAAUUAUGUGGGUGUUAGUUAUUUGGAAACUAGUAUUUUAAUCUUCCCUAGAAAUAGGGCUUUCUAUAGUUGUAACGGAGAUCUUCGGCCGGUCAAAAAGCCUAAUGAAUGAAGAUAUUGAAAUACAAUUCUUCACUACUGAACCUUACUCUCACGUGUAAUUGCAUCGAGAGUUGAAUUUAGCUCAAAAUUCAACUCCAGGUUGUAGGUACACAUUUCCCCAGCUCCUCCUAAUUUCCUGAUCCUCAACACCCUCCACCACAUCCUGACCCUUCAUGUAUCAUGUAUGUCUUUUCUGUUCCUCAUACAGGGUUCAGAUGACUGCAGGUCUGAGGCACGGGCUCCCUCCAGUAUGACGGUGGCUUGGCAUUCGGGACACCAGCUUUAGAUGGUGGCAGAGCUCUGGAGGCUGACGAAAGGAGCCGAGGUCUGUUUAGCUCCAUUCUCUUCUGCUGAGAGCUCCACUGCUCCCUCUCCACUGCUACCGUCUCCUUGCUCCAAAUAGGAUUCUCUCCUCUCCUGGCCCACUCUAGCAGAGUCUUACACACAGGCAUUCUGAGAGUUUCCUCAAAGCUUUGGCUACUACUUUCUAAGGCUCACAAACAAACCAAUUGCAGCACACAAAAAGUAAAGUCACGAGGAAACACGACAGAAACAAAAGCAUCCGUUUCAGGGUCCAGCACUGGAACCUCUGACACAGUUUCCGGGUUCUUCCUCUCAGAAAACGUUAUCUGGUUAUAUUAUCCAAAAUCAAGACUUUUCACCUCAAAACUGGCUUGGAGAAAUCAUGGGUUCCUAUCAAGACGCCAAAUGGUACGGCAUGUUGCAUCCUCCUCCCAAAACUUCAGAAGUCUAAGGAACUAUGCAUUCCCAGAAAUAACAAGAGUGACAACCCUGGGAAAUGACAGAGGCCUGAAGGCUGUCUCUUAAUUGGUGGGUAGCCUGGGGUUAGGGGCAGUGGGUGGCAGCCUUGAGGGGCUCAGUGUGAGGGAAAAUUUUAAGGACCGUUCUUGCCUCUCCCCUGAGUUGCUUGGAAGCGAUCAC
rnacentral:lncRNA from 1 species